rnacentral:rRNA from 1 species
GACGAACGCUGGCGGCGUGCUUAACACAUGCAAGUCGAACGGUGAAGCGCUUGCCUUUUUGGUGGGUGUGGAUGAGUGGCGAACGGGUGAGUAACACGUGAGUAACCUGCCCUCUUCUUCUGGAUAACCUCAUGAAAGUGGGGCUAAUACGGGGUAUUCCGGGUCUGUCGCAUGGCGGGUUUGGGAAAGAUUGCGCCUUUGGGUGUUUUCGGUGGGGGAUGGGCUCGCGGCCUAUCAGCUUGUUGGUGGGGUGAUGGCCUACCGAGGCGGUGACGGGUAGCCGGCCUGAGAGGGUGGACGGCCACACUGGGACUGAGACACGGCCCAGACUCCUGCGGGAGGCAGCAGUGGGGAAUAUUGCACAAUGGGCGCAAGCCUGAUGCAGCGACGCCGCGUGAGGGAUGGAGGCCUUCGGGUUGUGAACCUCUUUCGCCAGUGAAACAGGCCUGCUCCUGUGUGGGUGGGUUGACGGUAGCUGGAGAAGAAGCGCCGGCUAACUACGUG